GCCUAUUAGCUGAGAUAGCUUGGUCGGUUGAGCAUGAGAUUCUUAAUCUCAGGGUCAUGGGUUUGAUCCCCACAUUGGGCA